rnacentral:rRNA from 1 species
UACGUAGGGGGCAAGCGUUGUCCGGAAUCAUUGGGCGUAAAGAGCGUGUAGGCGGCCUGAUAAGUCGGUUGUGAAAGUCAAGGGCUCAACCCUUGAAUGCCGACCGAUACUGUCAGGCUAGAGUCCGGAAGAGGCGAGUGGAAUUCCUGGUGUAGCGGUGAAAUGCGCAGAUAUCAGGAGGAACACCUAUUGCGAAGGCAGCUCGCUGGGACGUAACUGACGCUGAGACGCGAAAGCGUGGGGAGCAAACAGG